rnacentral:rRNA from 1 species
AGUGAACGCUGGCGGUAGGCCUAACACAUGCAAGUCGAACGGCAGCACAGAGGAGCUUGCUCCUUGGGUGGCGAGUGGCGGACGGGUGAGGAAUACAUCGGAAUCUACUCUGUCGUGGGGGAUAACGUAGGGAAACUUACGCGAAUACCGCAUACGACCUACGGGUGACAGCAGGGGACCUUCGGGCCUUGCGCGAUUGAAUGAGCCGAUGUCGGAUUAGCUAGUCGGCGGGGUGAAGGCCCACCAAGGCGAUGAUCCGUAGCUGGUCUGAGAGGAUGAUCAGCCACACUGGAACUGAGACACGGUCCAGACUCCUACGGGAGGCAGCAGUGGGGAAUAUUGGACAAUGGGCGCAAGCCUGAUCCAGCCAUACCGCGUGGGUGAAGAAGGCCUUCGGGUUGUAAAGCCCUUUUGUUGGGAAAGAAAUCCAGCUGGCUAAUACCCGGUUGGGAUGACGGUACCCAAAGAAUAAGCACCGGCUAACUUCGUGCCAGCCGCCGCGGUAA